rnacentral:rRNA from 1 species
UGCCUGUAAGACUGGGAUAACUCCGGGAAACCGGAGCUAAUACCGGAUAGUUCCUUGAACCGCAUGGUUCAAGGAUGAAAGACGGUUUCGGCUGUCACUUACAGAUGGACCCGCGGCGCAUUAGCUAGUUGGUGAGGUAACGGCUCACCAAGGCGACGAUGCGUAGCCGACCUGAGAGGGUGAUCGGCCACACUGGGACUGAGACACGGCCCAGACUCCUACGGGAGGCAGCAGUAGGGAAUCUUCCGCAAUGGACGAAAGUCUGACGGAGCAACGCCGCGUGAGUGAUGAAGGUUUUCGGAUCGUAAAGCUCUGUUGUUAGGGAAGAACAAGUGCAAGAGUAACUGCUUGCACCUUGACGGUACCUAACCAGAAAGCCACGGCUAACUACGUGCCAGCAGCCGCGGUAAUACGUAGGUGGCAAGCGUUGUCCGGAAUUAUUGGGCGUAAAGGGCUCGCAGGCGGUUUCUUAAGUCUGAUGUGAAAGCCCCCGGCUCAACCGGGGAGGGUCAUUGGAAACUGGGAAACUUGAGUGCAGAAGAGGAGAGUGGAAUUCCACGUGUAGCGGUGAAAUGCGUAGAGAUGUGGAGGAACACCAGUGGCGAAGGCG